AUUGAACGCUGGCGGCAGGCUUAACACAUGCAAGUCGAGCGGGGGAAGGUAGCUUGCUACUGGACCUAGCGGCGGACGGGUGAGUAAUGCUUAGGAAUCCGCCUAUUAGUGGGGGACAACAUCUCGAAAGGGAUGCUAAUACCGCAUACGUCCUACGGGAGAAAGCAGGGGAUCUUCGGACCUUGCGCUAAUAGAUGAGCCCAAGUCGGAUUAGCUAGUUGGUGGGGUAAAGGCCUACCAAGGCGACGAUCUGUAGCGGGUCUGAGAGGAUGAUCCGCCACACUGGGACUUAGACACGGCCCAGACUCCUACGGGAGGCAGCAGUGGGGAAUAUUGGACAAUGGGGGGAACCCUGAUCCAGCCAUGCCGCGUGUGUGAAGAAGGCCUUAUGGUUGUAAAGCACUUUAAGCGAGGAGGAGGCUACUCUAGUUAAUACCUAGGGAUAGUGGACGUUACUCGCAGAAUAAGCACCGGCUAACUCUGUGCCAGCCGCCGCAGUAA
rnacentral:rRNA from 1 species